AUAUAAUAUUAUGCAGUGUUUACAUGAAAUUGACUGAUUUACUUUUUGUAUAAAAUUGCAGAUGACUACAUGUGCACCUGACACGCCCUGUGUGAGCUCCCAGCCUGUGCUCAUGUCAGAGCCACAGUGGGAUGAAGCUGCCUGGUUAGAGGACACUGGUCAACAGAUGACUACAUGUGAACCUGACACGCCCUGUGUGAGCUCCCAGUCUGUGCUCAUGUCAGAGCCACAAUGGGAUGAAGCUGCCUGGUUAGAGGACACUGGUCAACAGAAGAGGAAACUGUUGGAGGCACGGAGGGGAAUAAAAUCCCAGCAAAACAGAGAUGCAAACUGCCACCAGCAGAAGAUGGAGCAUCUUCUACAGUCUGUGCUGAGUCAACCAACAGACACUCCAAUCAAUCAUUUCUUCAUAGCACGGAAAGGCUCCACUCAAAAGGAAACCAUGGCAGCCAGCAGAGAUAAAGGCCGUCGAGAGGCACAUAAAGGCAUUAAUACAUGCCUGCACUGUGCCAAAAAUGUCUUAACUAAACAAAAUCUGUAGGUGGCGAAGAAGUUAAAGCUGCGUCAUGCUUUGAACUAAACACUUUUUAUAUCUGGUGCCAUCAAAGUAGCAUUAAUAAUCGUCGUAAUAAUCGUAACGAUUAUUAAUGCUACUUUAACGGCAUAGACUAUCCAAAAACCCAGUCGACACUAGAUGGAAAAAGUGCAUAGAUCAAAAGGUGAUGCAGCUUCCCUUUUUUUCUUCACAACCUACAGACUUUGUUAUAUGCGAUUAUUCAAACACGCCAUGUUAUUUAAUAUAGACAUUUGACCGAGGGAACCGGAGCCU
ensembl:lncRNA